CUCUCCACAUCCAGGGUGCAUGAGUCAGCCCAGGCUAGGAGACAAUGCCAAAGACAAAGAAGAAGAUUACGCCAGCCUCCUGAUAGGCCAUAAGAGGCCAUCAGCACAUCUUUUGCAGUUUUACCUGUGAAGGUCAAGAAGAAGUUGAAUAUUAUAGUGAAAGUACAUGUAGCUGUGUGUCUUCAUCACCAUUUCUUUGAAUUAAUUUAUUAUGUGAUAAGUUUUGUUGUAUAGUGCUAGCUUCUGGAGUGCUUAAAUUAUUUGUGUAUAACAACUAAACAGACAUGCAGGUGUCAUAAAGGCAAUAAAUUUAAAGGCGUUACAUACAUUUUUAUUAACCAGAACAUGUGAAAGAGAAGUGAGGUGUUUGAAAAACUAUGCUACUUUGCAUGAACAACUCACAUUCAUCACCAUUUAUUUAUAUGACAGGUAUAUUUUUGGAUUUAAAAGGGGUAGCUUCUUGAGUGCUUUAGUUUUGUGUAACAUUUACACAUGCAGGUAUCACAUGUCAAUAUAUUGAAAGGGUUAUCGGGAUAUACGUGAUGAAAGUGUUGACAUUUUCUUUUAAGAGCAUCACCGAGCAGUAGAUGAGGUUUGCUAUUAUACAGUUGCCCAAGCAUGAUACAUGUACAUAGUUAAUAUGUGCAACAACGUAUGAGGAGUAACUGAACAUUAUAAUUAGAAAUUGCCAUUGCUAUGAAACAACCAUAGGAUUUAUGACAUUUUUAACAAUUUGUUUUAAUUUGUUUGUGAAAUUUAAUUUGAAUGUGAAACAAUAUGUAUGUGGCCUGUAUGUAUCUGGCCUGCUGAGGCCUGUUCCCCCUCCCCUCCCGGCCCCCAGGUUCCCCCUACUGGAUGUUGGUGCACACAAAAUUAAGCAUAUUGUGUUUUUACCCUGAACAAAUUGAAACACUCCCCCCCCC